CGGAGUGUAGCGCAGCUUGGUAGCGCACCUCGUUCGGGACGAGGGGGUCGCAGGUUCAAAUCCUGCCACUCCGACCA
rnacentral:tRNA from 2 species